AUGGAAAAUUGCAAGUCUUACUUGUGGUGGCGGGAUAUUAUCCCAAUUAGGAAUCAACCAGCAGUAGAAGAUUGGUUUAGGGGAGGUGUUUCGUGCGUUUUAGUGGAGGAUACGAAGGGUUUGGUAGGUGAUCAAUGGAGAUGGUCGUUGGUGGAGAAUCAGGGGGGCGGUAUUGGGUUCAACACUAAUACAACUAGUGGAAUUGGAAGCUAUUCUGUUGGAAGUUGUUCCGAAGUUGGAGGGAUAUUUGUGAUAGGUUACCUAAAAGGUGGCGAUUGGAAAGGAGAGGUAUCCUCACUAAUGAUAGAGAUAAGGUAA